AAACUCAAGGUAUGAAGGAAGAGGCCGAACUUCCAGCUCGGAUAGUCAGAUUCCGACCUACUAAAAAGGCGCAAGGCCUAAUAGCUAAAAAAGCGCCGAUCUCGAAAUAGAUGCUAACAAUAAAAGUUUAGCUACAGAGCAAGAGGCCUCGCUCUCAGCUCGGAUAGAUCUAUGUUCACUAAGGCUGAAGACCGAGCUCCCAGCA
rnacentral:lncRNA from 1 species